GGAAGUAAAAGUCGUAAUAAGGUCUCCGUUGGUGAACCAGCGGAGGGAUCAUUACAGGACUCGCAAGACUCCUACAACCCUGUGAACUUAACUAUAAGCACGUUGCUUCGGCGGGUGUCUCGGAGGGGGUUCUCCCUCCCCGAGACGCUAAACCCGCCGGCAGCCUACUAUACUCUGUCUCUUUGCGUUGGCAUCUCGAGUACAAUCAAACAAGUUAAAACUUUCAACAACGGAUCUCUUGGUUCUG
rnacentral:misc_RNA from 1 species